AUGGUUUGAGCUGACCGGUUAGAUCUUCAAUAGUUGAAAACAUGCAAGUCCAUCAGGGUCUUGUAAUAUCCCUUUUCUAUCUCCACUUCUUCCACCUGAUGAAGCAGAAGGGUUUCAAUAAUGAAAUCCUCCCAAUCAACAUCAAAUUUCAUUUUCCUUUUUCCUUCUUCCAACAUUUACGUGUUCGAGGGAACUAUACUUUUGCAUAAUUAUAUUUUCAUAGGCCAAGCAACCACUAUCAAA
rnacentral:misc_RNA from 1 species